rnacentral:lncRNA from 1 species
GGAGCCCCCGCGUGGCCCGGGGCACUGUGGGAGAUGUGGUCUGGUGCGCGGUGAGUGCCUUCUGGGUUGAGAGUGCUGAUUUGGAAACUGACAGUAAAAGUUGCUGACCGCGUGUCCUGGGUUCAGGGUUUUGGGAAACGCGGCCGGUAGGGCCUCAGCUUCUUAGAUAUCAUGCGUUGAGCCGCUGCUUGGGUGUUUUGUGACUAGGGCUCAGAGCUGGGAGCGGACGUUUCAGACGAUGGAUUUGGGAUCCCCAUGUGGCUUUUUAACGACAAUCCUCGCAGGAUCCCAGAGGGAUGGCACCUAGACUGCUGUCCAGAAUUGCACACACUGCAGGCUGGGACCCUCCUUUCCUUGACUGAGCAUCUCCAGGACUCAUCUUGGAGUCCACAGAAGCUGCCAGGAACCAGGAAACACCAUGGCCUGUCGCUGGGAUUGCAGAGUUGGACAACUGUGGCCCAUUUGCUGCUCAGCCCUGGUAAAGACAGAAGCACACAGGAGCAGAAGGAGGGGGCAGACGGCCUCGCAGAGAGCACAUUCCAGGCCUCUGGCUUACCAGGUGCUCCCAAAAGUUAUUGGAAGCUAAGCGUUUAUUGACGCGAGAAUAGAUCUGUAAAGCUGAAUCUAGACUGAAUCGAGACCCACUGUGAACUGUGGGUUGGUUUUCACCAGUUUCCGAGCCCCUCCGCUGGGACUCAGGACGCUGGCAGGCGCCCCGCAAGGGUGGCGAUGUGGGAAGUUGGGGAGAGGAGGGAAGCCUGCCCAAGGCAGAGUCAGAAAGGACUGCAGAGGUCUUGGAUUUGCUUCCGGGCUCAUUCUGAGUGCAGGCUGCAGUGGGGUGCAGACAGCACUGUCUCCCUUGGCAGUGACAAGUGUCCCUGGGGUCGGGACUUGCGCGGUGCGUGGCAGAGCUGGCCACUCCGUCCACAGGGCAGGGGUGGAAGGUGGCGACCUGCUCUCACCCGGAUCAAUCCUGCUGCACAUUCUGGGAAGGGAUCACAGCUAGGGUAAGCCAGGUCCUAAAGACGUCGUUGCAGCGAUGCCCCAGCAGGUGGCACCCGUGCGCCGCGAGUGGUGCUGUCCUCCGUGUGGUCCGCCUUGGAGCCCCACGGAGCAGGUCCCCUCCACCCAGAGGCAAUGUGGGGAGGUAUCACCUACCACCCAGUGCCGCCUUCGCACCCUGCUCAACAGAGGUCCGUAUCCCUGGGCCCAUGAGAAGAUUUGAGCGUCCACUGACACUGGACUGUGUCUAAAGCCCCUUACACCCCACGAGGCGCACUGGUGCGCAGCAACCCACAGGUGUGCAGUUUCUAUCUGUUCAUUACACAGACGCAGCCAGCUCUGCACAGUGCUCACCAGCCUCCUGCUGGGACACACCUAGCCGAGUGCUCCCUGAGCUGGGAGAGCCUAGCUUGCAGCCCCUGGUCCCUGAGAAGCCUCCGGAGCAGAUCAGGCAGAGGAAGUCAUCUCCACAGCUAGGCCCCCGGUGUCCCGGGCCGUGCUCUGCCGAGAAGGAUGCUUGGAUUCUGGUGCGCAUCUGCCCGCCACAGGUCCUGUAAGGGAGCUGUCACAGUAGUGGGCCCACGAACUCCGCUGCAGAAUCUUCCAGUGCCUCAGCUUGCAGAGAGCAGAGGCCGAGUCCUCCCUGUGGUCUGCAGUCCCCGAUUUCUCUGACCUCACUGGCCUGUGUGGCUGCCCAUUGCAGUCUGUCCUCUAGUGCCUCCCUGCAGGUUCCUGCAGGACCCCAACACCGUGGAGACCCAGGAGCCGGUGCCUCUGCCGCAUCCUCCUUCCCCUCUCAUCCCCUCUGGCACAGUGGUUGUUGGCUCAUUCAUCACCUACUGCUCUUUAAAAAAAAAACAAAAACAAAAACAAAAACAAAAACAACAAAAAAGUAUUUAUUAGUGCAUGUUUGCAACGCAUAAUGACUAUUUUCAUUGCAGGUAUUUGAUGCAUGUACACGACACAUCUCAGCUCUUUUUAAUUCCCUUUCCCCCACUCUUUGCUCUUCCCUCUGUUUCAUGGUCUUCUUCCCAUGUGCCUCCCUAUUUUCUUUUAUCUAAGCUUUAUUUUAUUUUAUUUGGUUUUUGCUUGGAUUUCUCAUAUGAAAGAAACCAUACAGUUUUUAAUCUUAUUUCACUUAACAUUGUUUUCCAAGUACACCCAUUUUCCCCUACAAAUGAC